rnacentral:rRNA from 1 species
GAUUAAGUUAUUAAGGGCGCACGGUGGAUGCCUUGGCACUAGAAGCCGAUGAAGGACGUUACUAACGACGAUAUGCUUUGGGGAGCUGUAAGUAAGCUUUGAUCCAGAGAUUUCCGAAUGGGGAAACCCAGCAUGAGUUAUGUCAUGUUAUCGAUAUGUGAAUACAUAGCAUAUCAGAAGGCACACCCGGAGAACUGAAACAUCUUAGUACCCGGAGGAAGAGAAAGAAAAUUCGAUUCCCUUAGUAGCGGCGAGCGAAACGGGAAGAGCCCAAACCAACAAGCUUGCUUGUUGGGGUUGUAGGACACUCUAUACGGAGUUACAAAGGACGACAUUAGACGAAUCAUCUGGAAAGAUGAAUCAAAGAAGGUAAUAAUCCUGUAGUCGAAAAAUGUUGUCUCUCUUGAGUGGAUCCUGAGUACGACGGAGCACGUGAAAUUCCGUCGGAAUCUGGGAGGACCAUCUCCUAAGGCUAAAUACUCUCUAGUGACCGAUAGUGAACCAGUACCGUGAGGGAAAGGUGAAAAGCACCCCGGAAGGGGAGUGAAAUAGAACCUGAAACCGUGUGCUUACAAGUAGUCAGAGCCCGUUAAUGGGUGAUGGCGUGCCUUUUGUAGAAUGAACCGGCGAGUUACGAUUUGAUGCAAGGUUAAGCAGUAAAUGUGGAGCCGUAGCGAAAGCGAGUCUGAAUAGGGCGUUUAGUAUUUGGUCGUAGACCCGAAACCAGGUGAUCUACCCUUGGUCAGGUUGAAGUUCAGGUAACACUGAAUGGAGGACCGAACCGACUUACGUUGAAAAAGUGAGCGGAUGAACUGAGGGUAGCGGAGAAAUUCCAAUCGAACCUGGAGAUAGCUGGUUCUCUCCGAAAUAGCUUUAGGGCUAGCCUCAAGUGAUGAUUAUUGGAGGUAGAGCACUGUUUGGACGAGGGGCCCCUCUCGGGUUACCGAAUUCAGACAAACUCCGAAUGCCAAUUAAUUUAACUUGGGAGUCAGAACAUGGGUGAUAAGGUCCGUGUUCGAAAGGGAAACAGCCCAGACCACCAGCUAAGGUCCCCAAAAUAUAUGUUAAGUGGAAAAAGGAUGUGGCGUUGCCCAGACAACUAGGAUGUUGGCUUAGAAGCAGCCAUCAUUUAAAAGAGUGCGUAAUAGCUCACUAGUCGAGUGACACUGCGCCGAAAAUGUACCGGGGCUAAACAUAUUACCGAAGCUGUGGAUUGUCCUUUGGACAAUGGUAGGAGAGCGUUCUAAGGGCGUUGAAGCAUGAUCGUAAGGACAUGUGGAGCGCUUAGAAGUGAGAAUGCCGGUGUGAGUAGCGAAAGACGGGUGAGAAUCCCGUCCACCGAUUGACUAAGGUUUCCAGAGGAAGGCUCGUCCGCUCUGGGUUAGUCGGGUCCUAAGCUGAGGCCGACAGGCGUAGGCGAUGGAUAACAGGUUGAUAUUCCUGUACCACCUAUAAUCGUUUUAAUCGAUGGGGGGACGCAGUAGGAUAGGCGAAGCGUGCGAUUGGAUUGCACGUCUAAGCAGUAAGGCUGAGUAUUAGGCAAAUCCGGUACUCGUUAAGGCUGAGCUGUGAUGGGGAGAAGACAUUGUGUCUUCGAGUCGUUGAUUUCACACUGCCGAGAAAAAGCCUCUAGAUAGAAAAAUAGGUGCCCGUACCGCAAACCGACACAGGUAGUCAAGAUGAGAAUUCUAAGGUGAGCGAGCGAACUCUCGUUAAGGAACUCGGCAAAAAUGACCCCGUAACUUCGGGAGAAGGGGUGCUCUUUAGGGUUAACGCCCAGAAGAGCCGCAGUGAAUAGGCCCAAGCGACUGUUUAUCAAAAAAACACAGGUCUCUGCUAAACCGUAAGGUGAUGUAUAGGGGCUGACGCCUGCCCGGUGCUGGAAGGUUAAGAGGAGUGGUUAGCUUCUGCGAAGCUACGAAUCGAAGCCCCAGUAAACGGCGGCCGUAACUAUAACGGUCCUAAGGUAGCGAAAUUCCUUGUCGGGUAAGUUCCGACCCGCACGAAAGGCGUAACGAUUUGGGCACUGUCUCAACGAGAGACUCGGUGAAAUCAUAGUACCUGUGAAGAUGCAGGUUACCCGCGACAGGACGGAAAGACCCCGUGGAGCUUUACUGUAGCCUGAUAUUGAAAUUCGGCACAGCUUGUACAGGAUAGGUAGGAGCCUUUGAAACGUGAGCGCUAGCUUACGUGGAGGCGCUGGUGGGAUACUACCCUAGCUGUGUUGGCUUUUCUAACCCGCACCACUUAUCGUGGUGGGAGACAGUGUCAGGCGGGCAGUUUGACUGGGGCGGUCGCCUCCUAAAAAGGUAACGGAGGCGCUCAAAGGUUCCCUCAGAAUGGUUGGAAAUCAUUCAUAGAGUGUAAAGGCAUAAGGGAGCUUGACUGCGAGACCUACAAGUCGAGCAGGGUCGAAAGACGGACUUAGUGAUCCGGUGGUUCCGCAUGGAAGGGCCAUCGCUCAACGGAUAAAAAGCUACCCCGGGGAUAACAGGCUUAUCUCCCCAAGAGUUCACAUCGACGGGGAGGUUUGGCACCUCGAUGUCGGCUCAUCGCAUCCUGGGGCUGUAGUCGGUCCCAAGGGUUGGGCUGUUCGCCCAUUAAAGCGGUACGCGAGCUGGGUUCAGAACGUCGUGAGACAGUUCGGUCCCUAUCCGUCGUGGGCGUAGGAAAUUUGAGAGGAGCUGUCCUUAGUACGAGAGGACCCGGGAUGGACAUACCUCUGGUGUACCAGUUGUCGUGCCAACGGCAUAGCUGGGUAGCUAUGUGUGGACGGGAUAAGUGCUGAAAGCAUCUAAGCAUGAAGCCCCCUCAAGAUGAGAUUUCCCAACUUCGGUUAUAAGAUCCCUCAAAGAUGAUGAGGUUAAUAGGUUCGAGGUGGAAGCAUGGUGACAUGUGGAGCUGACGAAUACUAAUCGAUCGAAGACUUAAUCAA